rnacentral:rRNA from 1 species
GGAGUUAGCCGGUGCUUCUUCUGCGAGUAACGUCACAGCUAGCAGGUAUUAACUACUAACCUUUCCUCCUCGCUAGAAAGUGCUUUACAACCCGAAGGCCUUCUUCACACACGCGGCAUGGCUGCAUCAGGGUUUCCCCCAUUGUGCAAUAUUCCCCACUGCUGCCUCCCGUAGGAGUCUGGGCCGUGUCUCAGUCCCAGUGUGGCUGAUCAUCCUCUCAGACCAGCUAGGGAUCGUUGCCUAGGUGAGCCAUUACCUCACCUACUAGCUAAUCCCACCUGGGCUUAUCCAUCAGUCGCAAGGACCGAAGUUCCCCUGCUUUCCCCCGUAGGGCGUAUGCGGUAUUAGCAGUCGUUUCCAACUGUUACUCCCCACAAUGGGCAAAUUCCCAGGCAUUACUCACCCGUCCGCCGCUCGUCAUCUUCAAAGCAAGCUUUUAGAAUGUUACCGCUCGACUUGCAUGUGUUAGGCCUGCCGCCAGCGUUCAAUCUGAGCCAUGAUCAAACUCUGA